UCCCGUGUGGCUCAGUUGGUAGGGCAUGGUCUUUGCAACGCCAGGGUUGUGGGUUCAAUUCCCACACGGGAC
rnacentral:tRNA from 1 species